CAGUAAACAAUGAUGGAGCUACCGGACCUGAUUAAUAUAUGAAUCGAGGCAUUUAGAGGCAAACAGGGAGUUAAUUGGAACCUUCUGGAACCUUUCAUAGUCUGAUUUCAAUAUCAGAAAACACACAGCAGGAUAACUGGGACACACAAACAAAAACAGACACACAAUUGUAAAGUGAAUCAAAGCGGCAGAAUCAUCUAAUUUCCAGCAGGGGAAAUCUGUACCUGAAGUAAUCAAACAACCACCUUGCUUUAGCAUCCUUCCAUCCACGUGCCUAAAAUAAAUAAAUUCUGGUUGUGCUUCUGUCUGAAAAGUCUAAGGGCAGCUUUCGCACACCUGCCGGACAGCGACGUAGUUUCCUGAUUUAACAGUCAAGCCAGCGUCUAUUGUGUGUCGCUCAUUGUGUCAAAAUUCAUUGUUAUUCAUGCAUUUAUUUCAACACGUCUGGAUAAUUGUAGCUCAUUGUUCACUUGUCUUAAAGUUGCCCUGAAGCAUCUGCAGGCUGUGAGUCUUAUAUUUGCUCUAGUGUCACACCGCUGAUAAUUCAGCUGCACUGAAGUCGUUCACGUUACCACGUGGUCCCUGUGAUAUACCACGUGGACAUCACAGAGACCACGUGCACUUUGAGAACCUCCGUGAUGGUCAAAGAUGCUACAGAAACACAGCUUGACCCCACCUCUGACUGAGGUUGUCACACAGCAGAAGCCGUUUGGUGUUAAUGGCCGCCAUUUACUCGAGACUCCCGUGUCCUCACAUGUGUAGCACGACGGUAAGCCUGCAGUCUCCAGAGUCCAAAGCUGACGUCAGAGAACCUGCUCUCAAAUGUUUAACGGUACAGAGGCACCAGCCUGAGCAGAGAAGCCCAGACUUUCACCUUUUCCCAUUUCUCUGAGGGAACACAGAGUUGUUCCAAAGCCAACCGAGAGAUGUAAUUUCUCCAGUGAGUCCUGGGUUUACCUAGGGCCAUCCUCCUAGGAGAGCUCAGCCACCCUUCAAAGGAGACUCAUUUCUGUCCCUGCUAGGGACAGGUUGCUACCCUGGGGCACAGACUCAAGGACAAGUGCCUGGUGUCUCAGCCUUAGCCUGAAGAAGCUACAUGGAUCUGUCUUCCUAUGGGCUCACCCCCCACAGGAGGGACCAUAGGGGUUCAGUAAGGCGGAGGUCCUGGCACUACAUGCUUAUCUUUUGUUUAGUUGUCACGCAUAGCCACUCUGAGGAGCAGGAUUUAAGGUUGCCAUUCCUCUGCAGAAGCAUGAAAGCUGACCAGCAGCAGCAGGAGGAGGAGGAGGUUAAAAAAGGAGAGAUUACAGGAGGAAAAAACUUUGAUGCGUACAUAUGCAAAUGAGGCUGGAAAUGUCAAAUUAGCAUAGAUUUGGGUCGGCCUCCCUCGCAGCUACGGGCAGCCGGGACGCCUGACAGCUCGGCCCGCGUCCAGACGGCCUGCUUUACAUAUUAGAGAGGCCUCCCAUCACCGCGGGUUACCACCAGCAUCUCGUCGCCUAGGAGACUGAUGGAGACUGACAGGGCGGACGGCCUGAGUGAUAGACUGACGGCUGAGAAAGAGAGAAAGAGAAAGAGGGGGGAUUAGCUGUGGGCCUCGCUCGUCCACAGAAUGUAAACAGGCUCGAUUAUGUAAAUGUGUCGCUAAUUUAAUCAAUUACUGCCGGAGUGUUCAGGACGACCCUGAGCCGAGCGCCACGAUGGACCCCACACUACAGACACAGCACUGAGAAAAUCUUCAUCAUCUCAUCUUCACCUCAUCCUUUUAUCUGACUGUUUGUGUUCUGUAAUUAAAUUCUGUUUCAGCUUGAUUUCUGUGCAAACCUCUACAGGUGAAGCAGGUAAGACAGCUGCCUGCUCAGGUAUGUGUGAACCCUGCAGCUUUAAGGACACAGCUCCCCCUGCUGGGGGACACUCAGAUGGCAGCGAGGACAAGAUCCAGGUCCUGCACCUAGGUGUGGAUCCUCCAGCCAGAUGUUUGAGCUUCAUUUCAAACCUUAAAAACCAACAAAUAUAAAGAAAGACAUCCUGAAAAACGCCCGACAUUUUCAAACCUGCUGCAUGCAAAGAUACGCAAUGAGGAAUAACAGAUGAGAGUCAUCGUGAACAAAUAAAAAUGUUUUAGUGUGUCUGAUCUGAUUUCUAUUUCUGUGUUUAUUGUUGUUCUUUUUCCUUCCUCUGACUUUAUGAAAUUGUUCUCGGUUCACGUGUUUAAUCUUUUGUCUCCGGCGGGUGUCAGGGCUGCUGUAUGAAUAAAGUU